AACGCACAUUGCGCCCCCUGGUAUUCCGGGGGGCAUGCCUGUCCGAGCGUCAUUGCUGCCCUCAAGCACGGCUUGUGUGUUGGGCCGCCGUCCCCCUCCUAGGGGACGGGCCCGAAAGGCAGCGGCGGCACCGCGUCCGGUCCUCGAGCGUAUGGGGCUUUGUCACCCGCUCUGUGAGGAUCCGGCCGGGGCCUGUCUCACCCCCAAUCUUCUCUAAGGUUGACCUCGGAUCAGGUAGGGAUACCCGCUGAACUUAA
rnacentral:misc_RNA from 1 species